rnacentral:misc_RNA from 1 species
AAGUAUCAAGUGAGGAAGCUAUUGAAACUACUAAGUUGCUUGCCCUGAAAGAAGGUUUAUUGGUUGGGAUAUCUUCUGGAGCUGCAGCAGCAGUUGCAAUCAAAUUGGCAAAAAGGCCUGAAAAUGCUGGGAAACUCAUUGUUGAUUAAAACCAGCCCUAGUUCUGGAGAGCGUUACUUAUCUUCCAAGCUUUUUGAUUCUAUUAGGAAUGAGGUGG